UACGUAGGGUGCAAGCGUUAAUCGGAAUUACUGGGCGUAAAGCGUGCGCAGGCGGCUAUGCAAGACAGAUGUGAAAUCCCCGGGCUCAACCUGGGAACUGCAUUUGUGACUGCAUAGCUAGAGUACGGUAGAGGGGGAUGGAAUUCCGCGUGUAGCAGUGAAAUGCGUAGAUAUGCGGAGGAACACCGAUGGCGAAGGCAAUCCCCUGGACCUGUACUGACGC
rnacentral:rRNA from 1 species